rnacentral:rRNA from 1 species
ACUUCGGUUGUGGUGAAAGUGGCAAACGGGUGAGUAACGCGUGGGAACCUGCCCAGAGGUAGGGAAUAACUGCGGGAAACUGCGGCUAAUACCCUAUGUGCCCUGAGGGGCAAAGAUUUAUCGCCUUUGGAGGGGCCCGCGUCGGAUUAGGUAGUUGGUGGGGUAACGGCCUACCAAGCCAUCGAUCCGUAGCUGGUCUGAGAGGAUGAUCAGCCACACUGGGACUGAGAUACGGCCCAGACUCCUACGGGAGGCAGCAGUGGGGAAUAUUGGACAAUGGGGGCAACCCUGAUCCAGCAAUGCCGCGUGAGUGAUGAAGGCCUUCGGGUUGUAAAGCUCUUUCGGCGGGGAAGAUGAUGACGGUACCCGCAGAAGAAGCCCCGGCUAACUUCGUGCCAGCAGCCGCGGUAAUACGAAGGGGGCUAGCGUUGUUCGGAAUUACUGGGCGUAAAGGGCGCGUAGGCGGUGCUGUAAGUCAGGCGUGAAAUCCCCGGGCUCAACCUGGGAAUUGCGCAUGAUACUGCGGCGCUGGAAUGCGGGAGAGGAUGGCGGAAUUCCCAGUGUAGAGGUGAAAUUCGUAGAUAUUGGGAAGAACACCGGUGGCGAAGGCGGCCAUCUGGCCCGUAAUUGACGCUGAGGCGCGAAAGCGUGGGGAGCAAACAGGAUUAGAUACCCUGGUAGUCCACGCCGUAAACGAUGAGUGCUAGACGUCGGGGAGCUUGCUCUUCGGUGUCGCCGCUAACGCAUUAAGCACUCCGCCUGGGGAGUACGGUCGCAAGAUUAAAACUCAAAGGAAUUGAC